GAUGAAAGCAGGAAACUCUUCUCUGACUUGGGGAGUUCCUACGCAAAACAACUGGGCUUCCGGGACAGCUGGGUCUUCAUAGGAGCCAAAGACCUCAGGGGUAAAAGCCCCUUUGAGCAGUUCUUAAAGAACAGCCCAGACACAAACAAAUACGAGGGAUGGCCAGAGCUGCUGGAGAUGGAGGGCUGCAUGCCCCCGAAGCCAUUUUAGGGUGGCUGUGGCUCUUCCUCAGCCAGGGGCCUGAAGAAGCUCCUGCCUGACUUAGGAGUCAGAGCCCGGCAGGGGCUGAGGAGGAGGAGCAGGGGGUGCUGCGUGGAAGGUGCUGCAGGUCCUUGCACGCUGUGUCGCGCCUCUCCUCCUCGGAAACAGAACCCUCCCACAGCACAUCCUACCCGGAAGACCAGCCUCAGAGGGUCCUUCUGGAACCAGCUGUCUGUGGAGAGAAUGGGGUGCUUUCGUCAGGGACUGCUGACGGCUGGUCCUGAGGAAGGACAAACUGCCCAGACUUGAGCCCAAUUAAAUUUUAUUUUUGCUG
rnacentral:lncRNA from 1 species